rnacentral:rRNA from 1 species
CUGUCGUCAGCUCGUGUUGUGAGAUGUUGGGUUAAGUCCCCGCAACGAGCGCAACCCACGUCUUUAGUUGCCAGCAUUUAGUUGGGCACUCUAGAGAGGCCGCCGGUGAUAAACCGGAGGAAGGUGUGGAUGACGUCAAGUCAUCAUGCCCCUUACAUCCUGGGCUACACACGUACUACAAUGCUACGGACAAAGGGCAGCAAACUCGCGAGACAAGCAAAUCCCAUAAACCGUGGCUCAGUUCAGAUCGUAGGCUGCAACUCGCCUACGUGAAGGAGGAAUCGCUAGUAAUCGCAGGUCAACAUACUGCGGUGAAUACGUUCCCGGGCCUUG